rnacentral:rRNA from 1 species
AUUGAACGCUGGCGGCAGGCCUAACACAUGCAAGUCGAGCGGAUGACGGGAGCUUGCUCCUUGAUUCAGCGGCGGACGGGUGAGUAAUGCCUAGGAAUCUGCCUGGUAGUGGGGGACAACGUUUCGAAAGGAACGCUAAUACCGCAUCCGUCCUACGGGAGAAAGCAGGGGACCUUCGGGCCUUGCGCUAUCAGAUGAGCCUAGGUCGGAUUAGCUAGUUGGUGGGGUAAUGGCUCACCAAGGCGACGAUCCGUAACUGGUCUGAGAGGAUGAUCAGGCACACUGGAACUGAGACACGGUCCAGACUCCUACGGGAGGCAGCAGUGGGGAAUAUUGGACAAUGGGCGAAAGCCUGAUACAGCAAUGCCACGUGUGUGAAGAAGGUCUUCGGAUUGUAAAGCACUUUAAGUUGGGAGGAAGGGCAGUAAGUUAAUACCUUGCUGUUUUGACGUUACCGACAGAAUAAGCACCGGCUAACUCUGUGCCAGCAGCCGCGGUAA